GAUCAUGGCUCAGGAUGAACGCUGGCGGCGUGCCUAACACAUGCAAGUCGAACGAGGUAAAUAAGAGGAAGUUUUCGGAUGGAAUCGUAUUUACCGAGUGGCGGACGGGUGAGUAACGCGUGGAUAACCUGCCUCAUACAGGGGGAUAACAGUUAGAAAUGACUGCUAAUACCGCAUAAGCGCACAGUACCGCAUGGUACGUGUGAAACUACCGUCGGUAGUGAGAUGGAGUCCGCCGU
rnacentral:rRNA from 1 species